rnacentral:ncRNA from 1 species
GCGUUGAAGCGGGAGGUUGCGGCUUUUACAGUCGGUUUUUCCGUGGAGUAUGUCCGAUUUUAAACCGGGCG